CCUUCUGAGGAACGCUGCGAGAGCAAUUCCCAAGCUCCCAGGCUCAGAGAUGUUGUAAACGGCGUUCACUUUUA
rnacentral:ncRNA from 2 species